GACGAACGCUGGCGGCGUGCUUAACACAUGCAAGUCGAACGGAAAGGCCCUGCUUUUGUGGGGUGCUCGAGUGGCGAACGGGUGAGUAACACGUGAGUAACCUGCCCUUGACUUUGGGAUAACUUCAGGAAACUGGGGCUAAUACCGGAUAGGAGCUCCUGCUGCAUGGUGGGGGUUGGAAAGUUUCGGCGGUUGGGGAUGGACUCGCGGCUUAUCAGCUUGUUGGUGGGGUAGUGGCUUACCAAGGCUUUGACGGGUAGCCGGCCUGAGAGGGUGACCGGCCCCAUGGGGCCUGAGGGAGGCCCCAGCGCCUACGGGGGGACAGAGGGGGGAAUUAUGGCAGAUGGGGGGGGGGUGUGUGCAGGAACUCCCGGGGGGGGAAGGAGGGCUUUGGGGUGUUAAACGGUUUUCGCUUGUAACGAGGCGGGGUUGACGUUAAGGGAUAAAAAAGCCCCGGCUAACUUCGUG
rnacentral:rRNA from 1 species